CGGGGUGUAGCACAGCCUGGUAGUGCGCAAGCUUUGGGAGCUUGAGGUCGUGGGUUCGAAUCCCGCCACCCCGACUA
rnacentral:tRNA from 1 species